rnacentral:tRNA from 1 species
UCUAGAGAUAUAGCUCAGUGGUAGAGCAUAUGGGUAGCAUGCAUAAAGCUUUGUGUUCAAUCCCAAGCACUGGAG